rnacentral:lncRNA from 1 species
CACUUUUCCUAUUUUAUCUCUUCUUCCCUAUUUUCUCUCUCUUAACCUAGUUUCUUGAUCAUUGGUAUCUUAUUUCUUUAACCACGUACCAAAAAAGAUAAGAUUUUCCACAUUUUAUCCAAAGUUAUGCUUCCCACUUUUUAUCUAAAACAUUCCUAAUAAAACCUCUUUAGAUUUAACUAAUUCCCUUAAUUUAACCUUAUCUAUUUACCUUCAUAAACUAACCUAACUGAUACUAGAUAAACUCUUACCCACCGUAAUUAUCCCUGUGCAUAUAUCUGAAGAGAUAAACAAAUGAAUAAUAAAAAAUUAAAAUAACUCUAAUAUUAUUUGCAUUAUUCUCCUCGGGUUGAGAGAAGCUCGACCUCGAGCUCAAAAGUUGGUGAUGAAGUCACACCAUGAGCCUCGAUACGUUUUCUUCAAUUUCUUCAAGACUGAUGCCUGCAAUUGUGUUCCAAGAGUAAUUGUUGAAUAGAGCUUGGGCUUAUUAUUUUUAACCAAAAGUUGGUGAUGAAGUCGCACCAUGAGCCUCGGUACGUUUUCUUGAAUUUCUUCAAGACUGAUACUUGCAAUUGUGUAUUCCAAGAGUAAUUGUUGAAUACGAAAUUGGCCUGAUUAUUCCUAAACAGGAAUGGGUCUAGCUCCAAAAAACACCAAGUUGAACCAAUGAACACGUUUGACCAUGAAAUUUUGGGAGAUCAAUUUUAAUGUCAAAAUCUCGUGGUCGUUCUAUA